rfam:Lactobacillus buchneri CD034 plasmid pCD034-3, complete sequence.
UAAUGUAAACAGAAAAAGGAAGCCCCGCUAGAACAGGGCUUCCCAUGUAGAGCCGUUUAAGACGGUGGCAAAGUUUAAUAAUAGAUUAAAUA